rnacentral:rRNA from 1 species
GAUGAACGCUGGCUACAGGCUUAACACAUGCAAGUCGAGGGGAAACGGCAUUUGGUGCUUGCACCGAAUGGACGUCGACCGGCGCACGGGUGAGUAACGCGUAUCCAACCUUCCCGUUACUGCGGGAUAACCUGCCGAAAGGCAGACUAAUACCGCAUGUUCUUCGAUGACGGCAUCAGAUUCGAAGCAAAGAUCCGUCGGUAACGGAGGGGGAUGCGUCUGAUUAGCUAGUUGGCGGGGCGACGGCCCACCAAGGCGACGAUCAGUAGGGGUUCUGAGAGGAAGGUCCCCCACAUUGGAACUGAGACACGGUCCAAACUCCUACGGGAGGCAGCAGUGAGGAAUAUUGGUCAAUGGGCGGAAGCCUGAACCAGCCAAGUAGCGUGCAGGAUGACGGCCCUACGGGUUGUAAACUGCUUUUAUGCGGGGAUAAAGUGAGGGACGCGUCCCUUUUUGCAGGUAC